UACGGAGGGUGCAAGCGUUAAUCGGAAUUACUGGGCGUAAAGCGCGCGUAGGCGGUUUGAUAAGUCGAUUGUGAAAUCCCCGGGCUCAACCUGGGAAUUGCAGUCGAGACUGUCAGACUAGAGUGUGGGAGAGGGUGGUGGAAUUCCCGGUGUAGCGGUGAAAUGCGCAGAUAUCAGGAGGAACACCGGUGGCGAAGGCGGGUCUCUGGGCAACAACUGACGCUGAGGAGCGAAAGCGUGGGGAGCGAACAGG
rnacentral:rRNA from 1 species